AUGAAUUCUUCAGCAGAGACGCAAAGGAAGGCACUGAGUGAGAUUAGUCCAAUAAGUCACGGGAAGGCCGUGGCGCUUUGUCAUUUACAGCCUUCUUAUUACCUCACCAUGCCACUUAUUUCUAAGUAUGGCAGCAGAAUGUAAAACAAUGUACUUGGGGUGUCCAUCUAUCAGAACUCUCUGGGUGCUACAUCUGUAUGAAAAAAAAAAAUGACAUGGACUCCAAAAACUGAAAAGCCUCGGAAGAAAUGUCACACAAUAUAGAUCUUGUGACCGAGACUUUAAUCGCAGGCGCGUAGUUUUAUAUCUCGCGGUGAUGAGUUAUCGUCCUGUUCGUGUGGCUCACUCGCCCCGGGGCUUGAUUUAUUAUCUCUCAUGCCGCAUGUAAUCAACUCGUGCCAACAACACGCUACAGUGGUGCAGAUGAGAUAAUCCUGGAAAUUCAGGUUCGACUCGUUAAUUUAUUGCCCCCUGCAGUAUGACCCCCCCAAGCCCCCAGCCAGGGCAUUCGCUCUAGAGCAGGGGUCCUUAAACUGAGGGCCCAAAUAAAAAAAUCAGCACUUUACUGGGACCUGUGAGGAAGAUUAUUACCAUAAUGACGGCAGAGUCUUACAUGGACAAAUAGCAAUGGCCUAUAUAAUUAGGAUCUAUCUAUCUAUCUAUCUAUCUAUCUAUCUAUCAAUCAUAUAGUACCUUUUACAUCUAUCUACUGGAGGAGACUAGACAGCCUAUGAUAAAGAGUUGGGACACCUCCCGGUGACCCCAUUUAACUGAAAAUCUGAAAACAUGCAGUAAUUGAAAGGAACAUCUUUUCUGACAGGAGUUUCAUAAUGAACUGAUUUCAUGAUAACCAAACUUCCAGUUAUAUGUCCUUCUGGCAGGAAGAGGAGGGUCCAGGCAAGUGAUGUCAGAGAUGUUACAGCUGUAAAUCAUCUGGUCUGCAGAGGGAGGAAGAAACCAGGCAUCAGAACACAAUGCCAACCCUAGAGCGAGCUCGGGGACUGUUUGGCAUCCCCCUUGGAUCACAAAGUCGAUGACGUCGCCGCAGGUCCUGCUCUUUUCUUCUCCCUUGUAGGUCUUUUCAGGUACACAGUUGAUAAUGGCUCAUCAGUUACCGUGUUGUAUUUAUAAACCUACUUAUUAUUUUUUAACGUGGACACAGUCACCUUUACCUAAUGCUCAUUUCCUUUUGUAGAUGCUUAUUGAUGCAGCUCAGUUGAAUGAAUGGCCUCCUAGUUGCCUUCAUUUUAUAAGUAAAAUUAAACAAAGCCAAACACCAGCAAUACUGAACUUUUAAUGCUCUUGCAGCCUCCAGGAAGGCCUCAUCCCAACAGCUCUAACCUCACACCGUUGUCCUUUAAGUCUCAGAGUGACUCAUGAGACCCAAUGUCACAUCGCACACCACACCGAGCGCCUACUGCCACCUUGUGGUCCCCCAGAGUCACUGCGUUCCAAACUCCACUUAGCCAGAGGUGAAGCAGGCGGUCUAAGAGUUUCUAAAUCCCAGCACCGUUCUGCUGCCUUCUCUUUCUCCUUCCUCCGCCUUUCUGUUGUCUGUCCUCCAGCUUGUGACCCGUCCAGUUUCAUUCUGUGGGCGUUGGGGUGACGCACUUUUACAGUUUAAUUUCCUCUACGCAGCAGUUUGUGUUUCAGGUAAUUUCUUUGGUUUGGUCUACACAUGACGCCAUUGAUCAUUAGCUGCUUAAAUGCAUUAGCCAUUUGAACUGAAGUCCUCCAUUACUAGGUUUGCCAACUGCAGUUGCUGAUCUCAUCGCAGGACUCUGACAGUUUAAUAGUCACCAGCUGUCUACUUUCCCGACUGAGCACAGUCGUUCCCGCCCCUUUUUCUGACAGCCAAUCGCAUGCUGCCUGACGGAGCCCAUGCUGUAUGAAGGGUUA